AAAAGGCCGUGGGACUUGAAAAUGCGACGAUUUGGCCAAACAAAGUUCAAAAAGGGUUUUUUGCAUGGAAAAUGGAGUCGCCACUUGGUAUAGAGUUUGGGUGUACCAAGUCACCCAAAAAUGAAUUUUUGAAAAGCAAAGUAAACAAACCCCUUUUUAAGAACUUUUAGGUCUACGUAACCAAAGAAAGGGAUCGGGGAUCACAUUUGAUAAGGGAGAAGGCAAAGGCAAAGCCUAAGGCACUCCCUUACCCUAGCCAAAGCUAGUUAAGCGAUUUAGCCCCACGUUUCCUAAUUUUUCUACCC
rnacentral:lncRNA from 1 species